CUCAUGUUGGGCCUUUCUGGAAAACUCGAUGGAGGCUACACCGUCCGACAACCAGAGAAGGGGCGGAGGGGAAGACCAUCACGCCAACCGACGGGACGGUGAUGGAGGUGGGCACCGGCAGGGUGGAGGCCGCGCCGUCCACCAGCGGAAGGGAGGCGGGCGGACAUGGCGGAGACCGUGGCAUCCACCGACGGGGAUCAAGGCGGAUCCCUUGGAGGGACAGAAGCCGCGGCGGCGCCUCACCUUCAUCUGAGAGUUCCAGACUCUUUAGAUGGCUUGGUGAUCUCUCUACCACCGCCACACAACCCUCGUGGACGCCUCUGGUUCCAGGGAACCCUUCAACUACAUGGUUUUCAUUCCCGUCAGAUGGUGAGAUUGUAUCGUCUCUAUCUGUUUAUGUUAUGAGCUAGCAGUCUGCACAUCUUAUUGGUUUUUUCAGUGGGUCGUGUCCUAUUGUUUUAUUCUUAGGUCUUCAUAUGUCUGCACAGCUGGGAUUACUCAUUUGUGAACCGACUCAUUUUUUGUCAAACCCCCUUAAUUCAGUGUUUACAACCGUCUUAAGCAGAGAUCAGACAGAGGACAUCAAGAAAAAAUGUUGAUUAUUCGGUUGAAACAUAUGUUGCAAAGGCUGAGGCGAUUACUGCUACUUUAACUUUUGUAAGGCCCAGGCAAGUUAAUGUGAGAUGGGGCAUUCAGCUAACAGAGAGCAGUCUCCAGAUGCCAUGCCGCCGAACCUGAAGGUGGUGCACUGUAAAUGAGAUUGCAGAAGUGCUGAGGGGAUAUUUUUAAGUGUACCAAGUGUCGUGAAGCUUAAAUAUCCGAUUAUGAUAUUUGGUGAUCUGAACUGUUAAUUUGGUGGCCUAAUGGGCAAAGAAAUAUUUGACAAGUAUGGUUCUCCCUCAGCAGUCUCCCGUGAGUAUCUUUUUUAUCUUCGUAGUGAUGACUAUGAUUCAGUUUUUCCUCUCUUUCCUCUUAUGAGGAUUUUGUAAUAUCUGCCGGAUACACAAACUGCAAGAAUUAGUUCUUCACUAAGGACUGCUAAUUAUUCUUUUGACAUGUUGAUCACAUCAGUUUUAUAUUCAGCACGCACUAUGGCUUUUAUUAUCUUUUUCCGUGCAUGAGUAUAUUUGAUUGUUCUUUUCUUUUAUAAAUCAUUCAAGAUGCUUUUCAUUUGAAGACGGGCCACCAUCAGGAGCGACUAGGUGUAUCCUGAAUAGCAGAUUAUUUCAUCUCUUCUAGCGUAACCCAUUUUUUUAAAUCUUUAGCAUAAACAAAUUUUGUGCUGCAUAAGAAUAAUCCAACUCCAUUUGCCCCUAGCGGCUUGAUAUGUGCGUUAAGCUUCUUUGAAUCUCUAAUUAUUCUCCUGACCUCAUAUGUAUCUUCCUAACAUUUCAAUUACAUUGACCGUGGUCACCAUAAUUUUGGAGACUAUUACUCUUCUCCUACCACCUGAAGUUAGUAAAUAUUAAGCCGUGAGCAUAUUAUUUGGUCUUUCUUUAUUUUAAAGAGUAAGCCAAACUUGAGUACGAUUCGCGUAAUUUUCUUUUACCUGUUACAAUAUAUUAUUUCCUGAAUGUUUCGAUUGCUAUGGCGAGAUUUCUACAACUACAAAAUCAGAUUAAUUGUUUCAUUUUUACUAUAAUGCUCUUUCUCUGGAAUCAUGUAAAUAUUAGAGUUUAUCUUUCUUUUCUUGCAUUUCGUUCUUACAGUUCACUUGCUUUUUAACUACUACUUCAAACCUUAAUUUCUAAUUGCCUCUUCCCUUACCGUACAGAUUAGAGAAGCACUAUGUGCUAUAGGUUUUGGUGGAAGAGAAGGAAUCAUGUGCAUCAAUGGGCAUGCCUAUUGGUUUUCUAUAGGGCCGCAUGCAUCGAUUGAUGCAGAGGCUGAGGCUUUUUCCCCCUUAUCGAAAAAAAUUUGGUUUUCUAUAGGUGAAAAACUGGUCCGUCUAAAGAGUUUAACUGUUGAAAAUGACAAGAAGCUGUUCAACAGUGCUAGGCCAGCACAGCCAUCAAGCAGUAACACAGAAAAAGCUCCAAUGUCUCAACCUGACGAUGCUCCAAAUACAGUAGAGGACAACAGAACUUCAGGCGCCACAUGAGCAAAGACAUCAUAGAAAAGCCUGACUCAGAUGGAGAUGAGCUCUGUAUCCGAAAAGAAGAGGAAGGCAUCAGCUUCCGCAUCAGCCAAGAAACAAGUCAGGAAAAUGCUCUUCCCACAGAAAUAAGGAUCCUACUACUUGCCGGUAAGCAUGAAAUUUAAAUGGUGGUUAGGUUUUUAAACGGUUCAGACGAACACGGAGGAGAGAAGAUCGGCUAAGUGUAAAUUUCGUCGGCUAGGACGGAUGUUUGUAAUAUUAUGGGACUACCAGCUACUCUAGACUGCUUGUGUCUUUGAUGUGUAAUAUUUGGUACCUCUACUACCCAGCUAUGUCCGAAGACCUACUACCGUGUAUAUUUGCAUGCUUC